AGAUGGAAGGGGCUAAGGAGUGAUGGAGAAAAGAUGGAAGGGGCUAAGGAGUGAUGGAGAGAAGAUGGAAGGGGCUAAGGAGUGAUGGAGAGAAGAUGGAAGGGGAUAAGGAGUGAUGGAGAGAAGAUGGAAGGGGCUAAGGAGUGAUGGAAGGGGCUAAGGAGUGAUGGAGAGAAGAUGGAAGGGGCUAAGGAGUGAUGGAGAGAAGAUGGAAGGGGCUAAGGAGUGAUGGAGAGAAGAUGGAAGGGGCUAAGGAGUGAUGGAGAGAAGAUGGAAGGGGCUAAGGAGUGAUGGAGAGAAGAUGGAAUGGCUAAAGGAUGGAGAGAAGAUGGAAGGUGGUGGAUGGAGAAGAUGGAAGGGGCUAAGGAGUGAUGGAGAGAAGAUGGAAGGGGCUAAGGAGUGAUGGAGAGAAGAUGGAAGGUGGUAAGGAGUGAUGGAGAGAAGAUGGAAGGGGCUAAGGAGUGAUGGAGAGAAGAUGGAAGGUGGUAAGGAGUGAUGGAGAGAAGAUGGAAG
ensembl:lncRNA